rnacentral:rRNA from 1 species
GACAGAGGGUGCAAACGUUGUUCGGAAUUACUGGGCGUAAAGCGAGUGUAGGCGGUUCGGUAAGUCGGAUGUGAAAGCCCCGGGCUCAACCCGGGAAGUGCACUCGAUACUGCCGAGCUAGAGUAUCGGAGAGGUUGGUGGAAUUCUCGGUGUAGAGGUGAAAUUCGUAGAUAUCGGGAGGAACACCAGUGGCGAAGGCGACUACCUGGCCUGUUCUUGACGCUGAGGCGCGAAAGCUAGGGGAGCAAACGGG